CGAUUUCUACUGUGUUCGAAAGUUGAUCGGUUUCUUGAGCCUUGCAUUUACCCCGGGAGUGGAAUGUAUUAUUGGUGUGCAUGUCCGUCUUGAGCGGAAAGCCUUAUGUAAUACCUGAAACACCCACUUGAACUAUUAAGGUUCAAGGGUAUGAUCGACGCCGGCAUCUGUGGUAUCGC
rnacentral:other from 1 species